UACAGAGGUCUCAAGCGUUGUUCGGAAUCACUGGGCGUAAAGCGUGCGUAGGCUGUUUCGUAAGUCGUGUGUGAAAGGCGCGGGCUCAACCCGCGGACGGCACAUGAUACUGCGAGACUAGAGUAAUGGAGGGGGAACCGGAAUUCUCGGUGUAGCAGUGAAGUGCGUAGAUAUCGAGAGGAACACUCGUGGCGAAGGCGGGUUCCUGGACAUUAACUGACGCUGAGGCACGAAGGCCAGGGGAGCGAAAGGG
rnacentral:rRNA from 1 species